AUUGAACGCUGGCGGCAGGCCUAACACAUGCAAGUCGAACGAGUGGCGGACGGGUGAGUAAUGUCUGGGAAACUGCCUGAUGGAGGGGGAUAACUACUGGAAACGGUAGCUAAUACCGCAUACCAUCAGAUGUGCCCAGAUGGGAUUAGCUAGUAGGUGGGGUAACGGCUCACCUGGGCGACGAUCCCUAGCUGGUCUGAGAGGAUGACCAGCCACACUGGAACUGAGACACGGUCCAGACUCCUACGGGAGGCAGCAGUGGGGAUUAUUGCACAAUGGGCGCAAGCCUGAUGCAGCCAUGCCGCGUGUGUGAAGAAGGCCUUCGGGUUGUAAAGUACUUUCAGCGAGGAGGCGUUACCCGCAGAAGAAGCACCGGCUAACUCCGUGCCAGCAGCCGCGGUAAUAC
rnacentral:rRNA from 1 species